rnacentral:rRNA from 1 species
GUCUACUUCCAUGCUACCCUGAGUAAGCCCUAUCCUGUCUGAUCUCGGAAGUUAAACAGGGCCGGGCCUGGUAAGUACUUGGAUGGGAGACCACCUAGGAAGACCAGGUGCUGUAGGCG